rnacentral:rRNA from 1 species
CACGUAAGUAACCUGCCUAUCAGAGGGGAACAACAGUUACAAAUGACUGCUAAUACCGCAUAUGCCAUAACCAUCGCAUGGUGGAAGUGGGAAAGGAGAAAUCCGCUGAUAGAUGGACUUGCGACUGAUUAGAUAGUUGGUGGGGUAAAGGCCUACCAAGUCGACGAUCAGUAGCCGAACUGAGAGGUUAAACGGCCACAUUGGGACUGAGAUACGGCCCAGACUCCUACGGGAGGCAGCAGUCGGGAAUAUUGCGCAAUGGAGGAAACUCUGACGCAGUGACGCCGCGUGCAGGAAGAAGGUUUUCGGAUUGUAAACUGCUUUAGACAGGGAAGAAAAAAGACAGUACCUGUAGAAUAAGCUCCGGCUAACUACGUGCCAGCAGCCGCGGUAAUACGUAGGGAGCGAGCGUUAUCCGCAUUUAUUGGGUGUAAAGGGUGCGUAGACGGGAAGUUAAGUUAGUUGUGAAAUCCCAAGGCUCAACUUUGGAACUGCAACUAAAACUAAUUUUCUUGAGUACUGGAGAGGAAAGUGGAAUUCCUAGUGUAGCGGUGAAAUGCGUAGAUAUUAGGAGGAACACCAGUGGCGAAGGCGACUUUCUGGACAGAAACUGACGUUGAGGCACGAAAGUGUGGGGA